GGGGUUGCUCCGGUAUCGACAGGGUGUUUUAGGCAGCGACUUAAAAUGGCUCAAAUGUACAAUUAGCUGCGUUACUUUAUGUAACUAGGAUGCUCUGGACUUGGGUUCGACUCCCAACAACUCCACAA
rnacentral:tmRNA from 1 species